rnacentral:rRNA from 1 species
AGGAUGAACGCUGGCGGCGUGCUUAACACAUGCAAGUCGAACGAUGAAGGCUGGAGCUUGCUCUGGCUGGAUUAGUGGCGAACGGGUGAGUAACACGUGAGUAACCUGCCCCAGACUCUGGGAUAAGCGCUGGAAACGGCGUCUAAUACCGGAUACGAGCUUCCACCGCAUGGUGAGGAG